UUGAACGCUGGCGGCAGGCCUCACACAUGCAAGUCGAGCGGAUGAAGGGAGCUUGCUCCUGGAUUCAGCGGCGGACGGGUGAGUAAUGCCUAGGAAUCUGCCUGGUAGUGGGGGAUAACGUCCGGAAACGGGCGCUAAUACCGCAUACGUCCUGAGGGAGGAAGUGGGGGAUCUUCGGACCUCACGCUAUCAGAUGAGCCUAGGUCGGAUUAGCUAGUUGGUGGGGUAAAGGCCUACCAAGGCGACGAUCCGUAACUGGUCUGAGAGGAUGAUCAGUCACACUGGAACUGAGACACGGUCCAGACUCCUACGGGAGGCAGCAGUGGGGAAUAUUGGACAAUGGGCGAAAGCCUGAUCCAGCCAUGCCGCGUGUGUGAAGAAGGUCUUCGGAUUGUAAAGCACUUUAAGUUGGGAGGAAGGGCAGUAAGUUAAUACCUUGCUGUUUUGACGUUACCAACAGAAUAAGCACCGGCUAACUUCGUG
rnacentral:rRNA from 1 species